rnacentral:siRNA from 1 species
AGGUGGUGCGGAACAAGCGGAUUA